AGAGUUUGAUCCUGGCUCAGGACGAACGCUGGCGGUGUGCUUCACACAUGCAAGUCGAGCGAAUGAAGUAGGUAGCUUGCUACUUAUGGAUUUAGCGGCGGACGGGUGAGUAAUAUAUAGGAAUCUGCCUUAGAGCGGGGAACAACAGACCGAAUGGUUUGCUAAUGCCCCAUAGGUAUGCAGUCUUCGGAUUGUAUAUUAAAGGAGUAAUCCACUCUAAGAUGAGCCUGUAUCCGAUUAGCUAGUUGGCGGGGUAAAGGCCCACCAAGGCUACGAUCGGUAGUUGGUCUGAGAGGAUGAUCAGCCACAAUGGGACUGAGACACGGCCCAUACUCCUACGGGAGGCAGCAGUGGGGAAUUUUACACAAUGGGGGAAACCCUGAUGUAGCGACACCGCGUGAACGAAGAAGCCUUUUGGGGUGUAAAGUUCUGUCGGCUGGAACGAAAAAAAUGACGGUACCAGCAAAGGAAGCAUCGGCUAACUACGUGCCAGCAGCCGCGGUAAGACGUAGGAUGCAAGCGUUGUCCGGAUUUAUUGGGCGUAAAGAGUUCGUAGGCGGUUAUUUAAGUCUGAUGUUAAAUACUGUGGCCCAACCACAGAACUGCAUUGGAUACUGGAUGACUUGAGUGCGGUAGAGGCAAGUGGAAUUCCCAGUGUAGCGGUGAAAUGCGUAGA
rnacentral:rRNA from 1 species